rnacentral:rRNA from 1 species
GAUGAACGCUGGCGGCGUGCCUAAUACAUGCAAGUCGAGCGAACGGACGAGAAGCUUGCUUCUCUGAUGUUAGCGGCGGACGGGUGAGUAACACGUGGAUAACCUACCUAUAAGACUGGGAUAACUUCGGGAAACCGGAGCUAAUACCGGAUAAUAUUUUGAACCGCAUGGUUCAAAAGUGAAAGACGGUCUUGCUGUCACUUAUAGAUGGAUCCGCGCUGCAUUAGCUAGUUGGUAAGGUAACGGCUUACCAAGGCAACGAUGCAUAGCCGACCUGAGAGGGGGAUCGGCCACACUGGAACUGAGACAAGGGCCGGAGGCCUACGGGAGGCAGCAGUAGGGAAGCUUCCGCAAUGGGCGAAAGCCUGACGGAGCAAAGCAGAGUGAGUAAUGAAGGUCUACGGAUCUGAAAACUCUGUUAUUGAGGAAAAACAAAUGUGCAAGAAACUAUGCACGUCUGGACGGCACCUAAUCAGAAAGGCACGGCUAACUACGUG